rnacentral:rRNA from 1 species
GAUGAACGCUGACAGAAUGCUUAACACAUGCAAGUCCACUUGAAUUUGGGUUUUUUAACUUAGAUUUGGGUGGCGGACGGGUGAGUAACGCGUAAAGAACUUGCCUCACAGCUAGGGACAACAUUUGGAAACGAAUGCUAAUACCUGAUAUUAUGAUUAUAAGGCAUCUUAGAAUUAUGAAAGCUAUAUGCGCUGUGAGAGAGCUUUGCGUCCCAUUAGCUAGUUGGAGAGGUAACGGCUCACCAAGGCGAUGAUGGGUAGCCGGCCUGAGAGGGUGAACGGCCACAAGGGGACUGAGACACGGCCCUUACUCCUACGGGAGGCAACAGUGGGGAAUAUUGGACAAUGGACCAAGAGUCUGAUCCAGCAAUUCUGUGUGCACGAUGACGUUUUUCGGAAUGUAAAGUGCUUUCAGUUGGGAAGAAAAAAAUGACGGUACCAACAGAAGAAGUGACGGCUAAAUACGUG